UGGUUCUGGCAUCGAUGAAGAACGCAGCGAAAUGCGAUAAGUAAUGCGAAUUGCAGAAUUCCGUGAGUCAUCGAAUCUUUGAACGCACAUUGCGCCCCUUGGUAUUCCGAAGGGCAUGCCUGUUCGAGCGUCAUUAUCAACCCUCAAGCUUUUGCUUGUUGUUGGGAUUUUGUCAGUAAAAUGACAGUCUCGAAAGACAAUGACGGUAUUUUGAAGACCCCUGAUACAACGAGCUUUUCACAAGGCAUGUAUUAUGGUGGAUUUUAAAAUCCGGCCUUGAUUUUAUUUUCACAAGGUUGACCUCGGAUCAGGUAGGAUUACCCGCUGA
rnacentral:misc_RNA from 1 species